rnacentral:rRNA from 1 species
GACGAACGCUGGCGGCGUGCUUAACACAUGCAAGUCGAACGGAAAGGCCCUGCUUUUGUUGGUCGGCUAAGUGGCGAACGGUUAGGUACCGCGUAGUUAACCUGCCUUGUAUUUGGGGUUAACUCUGGGAACCGGGGGCUAUAACCGCAUAGAGGUCCAUCUGGCAGGAUGUGGGUUGGAAAGUUCGGAGGGUGGGGAUGGCAGCGCGGCCUACUUGCUUGUUGGUGGGGUAGGUGAUUACCAAUGCCUUGUCGGGUAGCCGGUCUGAGAGGGUGACCGGCCACAGUGGGACUCGGGUGCCGCCAAGAGUCAUUCGGGAGGCAGCGGUGGGGAUUAGUGCACAAUGGGCGGAAGCCUGAUGCAGCAACGCCGCGUGCUGGAGGACGGCCUUCGGGUUGGAAACCGCUUUCGCCUGUGAAGAAGCGUGAGUGACGGUAAUGGGUAAAGAAGCACCGGCUAACUACGUG